GAUGAACGCUGGCGGCGUGCCUAAUACAUGCAAGUCGAGCGAACAGACGAGGAGCUUGCUCCUCUGACGUUAGCGGCGGACGGGUGAGUAACACGUGGAUAACCUACCUAUAAGACUGGGAUAACUUCGGGAAACCGGAGCUAAUACCGGAUAAUAUAUUAAACCGCAUGGUUCAAUAGUAAAAGACGUUUUUGCGUUCACUUAUAGAUGAAUCCGCGCCGCAUUAGCUAGUUGUUAAGGUAACGGCUUACCAAGGCAACGAUGCGUAGCCGACCUGAGAGGGUGAUCGGCCACACUGGAACUGAGACACGGGCCAGACUCCUAAGGGAGGCAGCAGUGGGGAAUCUUCCGCAAUGGGCGAAAGCUUGACGGAGCAACGCCGCGGGAGUGAUGAAGGUCUUCGGAUCGAAAAACUUUGUUAUGAGGGAAGAACAAAUGUGUAAGUAACUGUGCACGUCUUGACGGUACCUAAUAAGAAAGCCACGGCUAACUACGUG
rnacentral:rRNA from 1 species